GCGUAAUAAAUUAGAGCAAUGGAACUGAAGUGCGGCGGCUACAGCGUGAAGGUUUUGCAAUGAACAGUACCUUGCAAACGUUUGCAGGGUCCAAAGCAGCUUCUCGGAACUCCACGCAGCUGUUCAUAUGUUCUAACUCAUUUGCUGGUGAUAUGUAGGAAGCUAGCAGCUUUGACGAACGCAACAGAGGUGGAACAGGCCAAAAUACGUUGUGUAAAAGCCAGAGAUUAUAUAUCGGGCGUUGUGCACAUUUGCUAAAAGAGCUGGAAGUGCUAUGGAAGGUGACUUUUGUCAGAGGCCAGCUUGAUUGUACGGCGUCCGGUAAAGGUGCGCAACAGCUGCAAAUCCAGGUGGUGUGUUGGUAAGGUGCAGAUCGGCGAACUCACUUUGUCAACAGUUAGCCUAUUUAUAUUUAUAUUAUAGCUGCAUGUCACUGCAUUAUCACGUCCACUCCCGUUCCUCUGCACCUGGUUACGUCCCCGGAAGCAAUAUCCCUCAGUGCAAGCCCUUGAAAACAACAUAUCAAGUCAUCAUGAAGGCCGCUGCUCCAUUUUUGCUUAUGCGCAAAGCGGGCGAUUGACGUAUUCUGCUCAUGGCGGAAGUGCCACGAGCUAUUGAUACAGCGUUAUGGAUCUUGAAGCUCUUCUUGCGUGUCUAAGAUGCUUUGAGUCAUGUUUGCUCACAGGAGGAACUGCGGCCCGAACAAGGGCGCCACCGAACUACUAUCAUGGAGGGCUUCCUUUGACAGGGCUAAGCCCUAUACACACCUUACGGGUUCCAAUCUUCCGUUAAACGCAGGCCUUAGGUGCUCCGAGGAAAAAGCGACAUACCGAAGGUCAUCGUCAACCACCUACACAAUGACAAGGAUGCUGGCGCCCUCACCCUCGCUGUCACCAGCACCAGCACCGUCCUCGUCACCCAGCACUGCUGUGAGCAGCGAGAUCGUGCCCCGCCCAGCUCCCUACCACCCUAUAUCCAUCCCGUUCACCCUCGCCCGUUAGCCCAACCCGCCACAUUUCCGUUCCCUAUCACUUGUUGCCAUCCAUCCCUUGCUCCAACAAGUUCAAGAUCAGCUCCAUCACUCUGCUGUCAUCCCAACACCAAGUGACAAGAUGUAAUCAGCAGCUGCCUUCAUGGUGGCGACCGAGCUGCGGUAGCCUGAGAGUGGUCCACAGGGUGGCUGCAAGACAGACGGUCCGACACAUCCAAGUACAAGAGAGUGUAUGUAUGUAUGUGUGUGUGUGGUCAAGCCGAGUCAAGCUUGCGCAUUUCUGUGUUAAAUGUUCGACACGACUUGACUGAUGGCUUGUUAUGAUGUCCUGAGUCCCAGGGGUCGCAGGUCGUUCACUCCCUUCCAAGUGCCAACUUCUCAGUGGAUCGCUCAGGUUCCACACCCAUCACCGGGGAAUUUGCAAGAUCGAGGGCGGCUGAACUCCAUUCCUGUUCAGCUCACAAGUCAACUUUAUCCCAGGCCACCACCGUCCAUCGACGAGGGGCACUUUUACCUUCCACCAUCGGAAGGAUUUUCAACCCUAACAAGUUCCAAGUUCCACACUUGCGUGCCGAACCCACACUUGCAUGCGGGUGUGUCCGUAAAAGCCGGGGGUCCAUGGAUGUUAUAUUAGUAGUAUUGAUGCGGGUACACAAGUGGUGCUCGGUGCCAUAACCAUGCCCACACCCAGCCUGGCUACCGGCGCGUAGCCUGUUGCCCUCACAGUAAUUGAUAAGUCGCCUCCCGAUGAUAUUGCCGUAACUUUUGCAUAGUGGGCCCCCAACCGCAAUGCCCCGAUAACUGUCGCAGCAGUACGCGUCCCCCUUUUUGUAUACGAGGAAAAGGGUGCUAGUCGUGAAUAUUCAGCUCGCGGAUAUUCAGCUCCGUAUAUGCGGUUGCAUAGCACCGUUAAGUAAGGCGCCAACACAAACACGGGCCGCUGCCCUUCACUCUCCCUGAUAGCGUACCUAUAAUACCUAUAAUACUCGGCCGGGGUUCCCUCCAGGCCCGCGGACAGGCUAUGUUGCGCAUAGCCUUUAGACCGCUAACAAUUUCGCCCUCCGUUUAAUCCUUGUUAAGCCAAGCAACUAAUUCCUGUCGGUGCAUCACCCGGUCCUCAUCCUGCCAUUUAAACUGGAUACCCUCGUUGCAGCCUUGCCUCGCGUUUCCCGCACCAUUAAGCACCUUGGAAAAAUGCUCGGUAAAAGCAUUAAUAUCUGAGAUCCAGCAAUCAGGCGGUUUUCCCCCACGCAGCCAUGUCCACAAGCCGCGUGGGUUGGACAGGGUGGCCUUAAUCCUCCUCCGCAUAUUUUCCAAUUCGGUCUCCUGAAUAGCGGCCUUCCUAGUAGCCUCCUUAAAGACACGGUGCUUGGCCUUCCAGGUAGCCCUAUGAAUGUCCGGCAGCUUGCCCGAGACGGGGUCCCUGAUCUCCUUACGGAAACUCAUCAUAUCAUUCCAUGCAGCGGCAGAGUCCUCGUUCCACCAGUCACGCUUCACAAAAUUCACCUU
rnacentral:lncRNA from 1 species